AUGCUCGCUUCAGCAGCACAUGUACUAAAAUUGGAAUGACACAGAGAAGAUUAGCAGGGUCCCGCAUAAGGAUGGCAGGCAAAUGUGUGAAGCGUUAAGCAUUCCA
rnacentral:snRNA from 1 species